GACGGAGGGCGCAAGCGUUGUUCGGAAUUACUGGGCGUAAAGCGCGCGCAGGCGGGAAGGGAAGUCUGGAGUGAAAUUCCGGGGCUCAACUCCGGAGCUGCUUUGGAUACUGUCUUUCUAGGGACCGGUAGAGGCCGGUGGAAUUCCCGGUGUAGCGGUGGAAUGCGUAGAGAUCGGGAGGAACACCAGUGGCGAAGGCGGUCCCCUGGGCCGGGCCUGACGCUGAGGCGCGAAAGCGUGGGGAGCGAUCCGG
rnacentral:rRNA from 1 species